rnacentral:rRNA from 1 species
CGCGUAGGUGGUUUGUUAAGUUGGAUGUGAAAUCCCCGGGCUCAACCUGGGAACUGCAUUCAAAACUGACUGACUAGAGUAUGGUAGAGGGUGGUGGAAUUUCCUGUGUAGCGGUGAAAUGCGUAGAUAUAGGAAGGAACACCAGUGGCGAAGGCGACCACCUGGACUAAUACUGACACUGAGGUGCGAAAGCGUGGGAGCAAACA